UACAGAGGGGGCAAGCGUUGUUCGGAAUUACUGGGCGUAAAGGGCACGUAGGCGGCCUGCUAAGUCGAACGUGAAAUCCCCGAGCUCAACUCGGGAACUGCGUCCGAUACUGGCAGGCUUGAAUCCGGGAGAGGGAUGCGGAAUUCCAGGUGUAGCGGUGAAAUGCGUAGAUAUCAGGAGGAACACCGGUGGCGAAGGCGGGUCUCUGGGCCGAUAUCGACGCUGAGGAGCGAAAGCGUGGGGAGCGAACAGG
rnacentral:rRNA from 1 species